GAGAUUCUUGGGAUAGCUACUGAAAACUGGCAGCAGCAGAAGCAGAGCUGGGUUUAUUUCAGCGGGCGUGUUAAGAAGCUGGACCCUUUCCUGGAAAAUCAGCUCCAGUGGAUUAAGAGCUCAUUUAUGAAAAGUGAAACCACCACAGAGGCAGUGGCCAAGAGGGGAGAUGACAUCAAGGUUCCUAAAUAAGACACCAGACAUACUAGGAUUGAUGCUGACGCUUCAUAGGCUGUGGUAACCACGUGACUCACCGCCACGUGUCCACGCAGAAAAGCUACCCCUGUUCAGCGCAUCCUCAGUGCAGCCCCAAGGCUGAAGUCGCCAGUACCCACCUCUCUGGGCAGCCCAGUGAUGUCCCUCAGCGAUGAGACUUCAGCAAAGGUCC
ensembl:processed_transcript 5830444B04Rik RIKEN cDNA 5830444B04 gene